AUUGCUCCCAGUGAUGGAAUUGGACCAGUGAAUUGAGUGAGUUCUCUCCUUGCCUGUCAUUUCAAACAGUCAACCGAGAUGGAUUGCAAAAUGGGCUGGAGUGCCAAGUGAUGGGCACGCCCAAACCCGAACUGUGGCCUGACGGCCCCUUUGCAGCAAUGCUACGGGAGUGCAGAUCGGUGCGUGCAAAUUUCCCAGCGUUUCCUCCCAGGAGAAGAGCUAGAACCCAUCAUAAAGGGAUGUGGAAAUAAUAGCUCCUUUGAAGAUCUGCAGGUGCUUUAUCAGAUUGGAAGAGACUUCGCUUUCUUUGACCAAAAAAUCUGUGACCAAUCCAGCUGCAAUAAUAGAAGUUUUCCAGGUAAGUCCAACAAAGUCAUUGUCCUUCUUUUUUCAACUUCUUGGUUACAUUCUCAAGUGCCCUGAAUCUUUUGAACUGGAGUGGUAUAGAAAUACAGAGGCGUUGAAUAAAUGUAAAUAUAAAUAGCUACCCCUUCCAUCCAGUCCACCACUAGGUGGCAGAAAAGAGGUAUGGAAAUAUAAUGAAUUAACAAUGUAAUCC
rnacentral:lncRNA from 1 species